rnacentral:lncRNA from 1 species
CAUCGGCUUCCCUGCGUAGAGUGUGUGUGAGAUGGUGCCGACUGCUGAAAUAAACUACUCAAGAGCUGUCAGAGGAUGCGAAUGUACGGCUAAAACAUAAUAAAAAUUCAACUCAAUUUCCAUAUGCAGGAGACUUACGGUGUUAAAACAAUACCGAUCUUGUGAAUUUUUCUCAAGUCUCCGCAAACUCGACUCAAAGUAAUCUAUAGCCUAAAACUUUCAA